rnacentral:rRNA from 1 species
UGCGUAGGCGGCGCGGUAAGUCGGGUGUGAAAUCUCGGAGCUUAACUCCGAAACUGCAUUCGAUACUGCCGUGCUUGAGGACUGGAGAGGAGACUGGAAUUUACGGUGUAGCGGUGAAAUGCGUAGAUAUCGUAAGGAAGACCAGUGGCGAAGGCGGGUCUCUGGACAGUUCCUGACGCUGAGGCACGAAGGUGGAGGCAAACG